AGGACGAACGCUGGCGGCGUGCUUAACACAUGCAAGUCGAGCGGUAAGGCCUUUCGGGGGUACACGAGCGGCGAACGGGUGAGUAACACGUGGGUGAUCUGCCCUGCACUUCGGGAUAAGCCUGGGAAACUGGGUCUAAUACCGGAUAUGACCUCCUAUCGCAUGGUGGGUGGUGGAAAGAUUUAUCGGUGCAGGAUGGGCCCGCGGCCUAUCAGCUUGUUGGUGGGGUAAUGGCCUACCAAGGCGACGACGGGUAGCCGACCUGAGAGGGUGACCGGCCACACUGGGACUGAGACACGGCCAGACUCCUACGGGAGGCAGCAGUGGAGAAUAUUGCACAAUGGGCGAAAGCCUGAUGCAGCGACGCCGCGUGAGGAUGACGGCUCGGUGUAACUCUUCAGCAGGACGAAGCGCAAGUGACGGUACCGUCGCAGAAAGAAGACGACCGGACGUAACUAACGUCGCCAGACACGACCGACGGUAAUACGUAGAGGACGGCGUAGGCGAA
rnacentral:rRNA from 1 species